ACACCGUUGGUGAAGUGGUUAUCAUGCUUGCCUUCCAUGAAGAACAAGUGUUCUAGAUUCAUGUGAUUAGCAAGCGGCUCGGGUUCGAUUCCCGAACGGUGUA
rfam:Gymnopus luxurians FD-317 M1 unplaced genomic scaffold GYMLTscaffold_1, whole genome shotgun sequence.